rnacentral:tRNA from 1 species
GCGGUUGGGCUGACGCUCAAUGGGUGAGCAGAAGCGCCGCAAGCUAAGGUAAGGGUUCGAUUCCCUUCACCUGCUCCA